GAGUAAUACCAGUGGCCGCAGUUGUACGAAUGCGUGUCCGCAUGCCAUCUCCACAAGGGCUACAGGCUACCGGCUACAAGCAACUUUAGAAAUUGCCAUUAUGUUCAUUAUCACCGAACAACGAAAACUGACACGGGGGCAAAGCUGAACUUCCUAGCGCUGGUGUCUCUGUGUUUGUGUUGGCGCUGCUGUCUCGGUCUAUCUAUCGUCUGUCACCUGCUCGGCCGCGUUCGUUUAUUUGAACUAUAGUGCGCGGGCGGCAUUGUCGUCAUUAGUAUUGGCAAUGAAAACGCAAAAAAUGCGCGUCACCGAUCACAUGAGUAAAAGGCGGGCAUGCGAUGUGCGUCAGGUAUCAUCUCACAUGAAUACAAAAUUAUAAAGAAGGGAAGAGAGAAGCAUAUUUCAGCCGGAAAGCCUUGUCAAAAUCGCCAGAUCAGCUAUCUGUAGUUUUCUGAUAGUAUUGAAACGCCUCAACACGACUAUGCAACGUUUGUGUGAAAAAAUUGUAUGCCAGUUGGAAUUAUUUCAUGCGUUUGAACGAUACCAACAAGGCCUACUUGUGGAAACGAACGAAAGGUAGGCAUGACGCCCACAGCUGACCUAUUCUGUCAGCUUCACCAAAAUCAACACCCAUUAAAAAGGAUCCGCAGUUUAAAUGAAAGGUAAUAGGUCCUAGUUGUUAGUCCUAGUUGGCAGCUGAUAUCUGCUAUUAUACCUAGCGACAACUUCGUGCAAGAAUUGACUGGCACAUCGUGGGGUCUUCUAAAAGCUGUCCAGUAUUUCUGCUUCGAAUAGGCCAGUCACAUUAUCGCUGUUGACGAACGAAUAAUAUUGAGAUGUUCAACCCCCCAGAAAAUUGUUUAAUUCUAUUCCUUGGAAGUGCUCGUUCCUAACUGUUAUCUGAUCAGCAGACAGCGUGAAGUGUACGUGAAGUUUUCCAAUGCCCCAUCCAUUUUAGCGGGCCACCUACUAACAAGAUAAUAGCGCAAUCUUAUGAAUAAAUGGAAUUUGGCGCGCUGCAAGUCCUAAGCCACACAAGUACUUACCAGCCUUUUGAAGUCCAAGCGUGGGAAGCAAAAUCUGCUAAAUUGCUCAAACGAAAACACUAAUCAAAAUUUAAAUGGACAAAAAAAACGCAGUGCAACGGCCUCUGCAGUGCAUC